rnacentral:rRNA from 1 species
AGCGAACGCUGGCGGCAGGCCUAACACAUGCAAGUCGAACGAACCUUUCGGGGUUAGUGGCGGACGGGUGAGUAACACGUUGGAACGUGCCUUUAGGUUCGGAAUAACUCAGGGAAACUUGUGCUAAUACCGAAUGUGCCCUUCGGGGGCAAGAUUUAUCGCCUUUAGAGCGGCCCGCGUCUGAUUAGCUAGUUGGUUGAGGUAAUGGCUCACCAAGGCGACGAUCAGUAGCUGGUCUGAGAGGAUGAUCAGCCACAUUGGGACUGAGACACGGCCCAAACUCCUACGGGAGGCAGCAGUGGGGAAUCUUGCGCAAUGGGCGAAAGCCUGACGAAGCCAUGCCGGGUGAAUGAUGAAGGUAUUAGGAUUGUAAAAUUCUUUCAACGGGGACGAUAAUGACGGUACCCGGAGAAGAAGCCCCGGCUAACUUCGUG